UGGGGAAUAUUGGACAAUGGGGGCAACCCUGAUCCAGCAAUGCCGCGUGUGUGAAGAAGGUCUUCGGAUUGUAAAGCACUUUCGACGGGGACGAUGAUGACGGUACCCGUAGAAGAAGCCCCGGCUAACUUCGUGCCAGCAGCCGCGGUAAUACGAAGGGGGCUAGCGUUGCUCGGAAUGACUGGGCGUAAAGGGCGUGUAGGCGGUUUACACAGUCAGAUGUGAAAUCCCCGGGCUUAACCUGGGAGCUGCAUUUGAUACGUGUAGACUAGAGUGUGAGAGAGGGUUGUGGAAUUCCCAGUGUAGAGGUGAAAUUCGUAGAUAUUGGGAAGAACACCGGUGGCGAAGGCGGCAACUGGCUCAUGACUGACGCUGAGGCGCGAAAGCGUGGGGAGCAAACAGGAUUAGAUACCCUGGUAGUCCACGCUGUAAACGAUGUGUGACUAGAUGUUGGGUAACUUUGUUAUUCAGUGUCGCAGUUAACGCGUUAAAGCAC
rnacentral:rRNA from 1 species